rnacentral:tRNA from 28 species
GCCGGUGUGGCGGAAUGGUAUACGCAGCUGACUCAAAAUCAGCCGGGGGUAACCCCAUGAAGGUUCGAGUCCUUUCACCGGCACCA